rnacentral:rRNA from 1 species
UGGGGAAUAUUGCACAAUGGGGGAAACCCUGAUGCAGCGACGCCGCGUGAGCGAUGAAGGCUUUCGAGUCGUAAAGCUCUGUCCUAUGGGAAGAUAAUGACGGUACCAUAGAAGAAAGCCCCGGCUAAUUACGUGCCAGCAGCCGCGGUAAUACGUAAGGGGCUAGCGUUGUCCGGAAUCACUGGGCGUAAAGGGUUCGCAGGCGGAAAUGCAAGUCAGGUGUAAAAGGCAGUAGCUUAACUACUGUAAGCAUUUGAAACUGCAUAUCUUGAGAAGAGUAGAGGUAAGUGGAAUUUUUAGUGUAGCGGUGAAAUGCGUAGAUAUUAAAAAGAAUACCGGUGGCGAAGGCGACUUACUGGGCUCAUUCUGACGCUGAGGAACGAAAGCGUGGGUAGCAAACAGG